GUCCGCGUAGCUCAGUUGGAAGAGCAUUGGGCUAGUAUUCCAAAGGUCGUAGGUUCGAAUCCCGCCGUGGCCA